AACAAAUAAACGGUGUAGAGUAUCAGUAUCAGUGAU
rnacentral:guide_RNA from 1 species